CACGUAAGGUGCGAGCGUUGUCCGGAAUUAUUGGGCGUAAAGAGCUCGUAGGCGGUGUGUCGCGUCGGCCGUGAAAACCUGCAGCUUAACUGUGGGCUUGCGGUCGAUACGGGCAUCACUGGAGUUCGGCAGGGGAGACUGGAAUUCCUGGUGUAGCGGUGAAAAUGCGCAGAUAUCAGGGAGGGAACACCCGGUGGGCGAAGGCGGGGUCUCUGGGCAGUAACUGACGCUGGAGGAGCGAAAGCGUGGGGAGCGAACAGG
rnacentral:rRNA from 1 species